UUUUGGUUGGGUUGGGAAGUAUCAUGGCUAAUCACCAUGAUGCAAUCGGGUUGAACACUUAAUUGGGUUAAAACGGUGGGGGACGAUCCCGUAACAUCCGUCCUAACGGCGACAGACUGCACGGCCCUGCCUCUUAGGUGUGUUCAAUGAACAGUCGUUCCGAAAGGAAGCAUCCGGUAUCCCAAGACAAUCAAAU
rnacentral:autocatalytically_spliced_intron from 9 species